rnacentral:rRNA from 1 species
AGCGAACGCUGGCGGCAGGCCUAACACAUGCAAGUCGAACGAACCUUUCGGGGUUAGUGGCGGACGGGUGAGUAACACGUGGGAACGUGCCUUUAGGUUCGGAAUAACUCAGGGAAACUUGUGCUAAUACCGAAUGUGCCCUUCGGGGGAAAGAUUAAUCGCCUUUAGAGCGGCCCGCGUCUGAUUAGCUAGUUGGUUGAGGUAAUGGCUCACCAAGGCGACGAGCAGUAGCUGGUCUGUGAGGAUGAUCAGCCACAUUGGGACUGAGACACGGCCCAAACUCCUACGGGAGGCAGCAGUGGGGAAUCUUGCGCAAUGGGCGAAAGCCUGACGCAGCCAUGCCGCGUGAAUGAUGAAGGUCUUAGGAUUGUAAAAUUCUUUCACCGGGGACGAUAAUGACGGUACCCGGAGAAGAAGCCCCGGCUAACUUCGUG